rnacentral:tRNA from 1 species
AUUUAAAUAGUUUAAAAAAAAAUAUUAAUUUGUGGAAUUAAAGAUAUAAGGAGUUUAUUUUAAAUC